AUUGAACGCUGGCGGCAUGCUUUACACAUGCAAGUCGAACGGCAGCGGGGGCUUCGGCCUGCCGGCGAGUGGCGAACGGGUGAGUAAUGCAUCGGAACGUGCCCAUGUCGUGGGGGAUAACGUAUCGAAAGGUACGCUAAUACCGCAUACGUCCUGAGGGAGAAAGCGGGGGAUCGCAAGACCUCGCGCGAUUGGAGCGGCCGAUGUCGGAUUAGCUAGUAGGUGAGGUAAAGGCUCACCUAGGCGACGAUCCGUAGCGGGUCUGAGAGGAUGAUCCGCCACACUGGGACUGAGACACGGCCCAGACUCCUACGGGAGGCAGCAGUGGGGAAUUUUGGACAAUGGGGGCAACCCUGAUCCAGCCAUGCCGCGUGAGUGAAGAAGGCC
rnacentral:rRNA from 1 species